rnacentral:rRNA from 1 species
UACGUAGGGACCAAGCGUUGUUCGGAUUUACUGGGCGUAAAGGGCGCGUAGGCGGCCUGUUAAGUCGAACGUGAAAUCCCCGGGCUCAACCCGGGAACUGCGUCCGAUACUGGCAGGCUUGAAUCCGGGAGAGGGAUGUGGAAUUCCAGGUGUAGCGGUGAAAUGCGUAGAUAUCUGGAGGAACACCGGUGGCGAAGGCGGCAUCCUGGACCGGUAUUGACGCUGAGGCGCGAAAGCCAGGGGAGCAAACGGG